rnacentral:rRNA from 1 species
ACGCUCGACACCUACGUGAGGCAGCAGUGGGGAAUAUUGCACAAUGGGGGAAACCCUGAUGCAGCGACGCCGCGUGGAGGAAGAAGGUCUUCGGAUUGUAAACUCCUGUUGUUGGGGAAAAAGAGGAUGGUACCCAACAAGGAAGUGACGGCUAACUACGUGCAGNCGCGGAGUAUGNGCGGCGNGCGAGNG